rnacentral:rRNA from 1 species
GCUCAACCGGGGAGGGUCAUUGGAAACUGGGGAACUUGAGUGCAGAAGAGGAGAGUGGAAUUCCACGUGUAGCGGUGAAAUGCGUAGAGAUGUGGAGGAACACCAGUGGCGAAGGCGACUCUCUGGUCUGUAACUGACGCUGAGGCGCGAAAGCGUGGGGAGCGAACAGGGUUAGAUACCCUGGUAGUCCACGCCGUAAACGAUGAGUGCUAAGUGUUAGAGGGUUUCCGCCCUUUAGUGCAGCAGCAAACGCAUUAAGCACUCCGCCUGGGGAGUACGGUCGCAAGACUGAAACUCAAAGGAAUUGACGGGGGCCCGCACAAGCGGUGGAGCAUGUGGUUUAAUUCGAAGCAACGCGAAGAACCUUACCAGGUCUUGACAUCCUCUGGCAACCCUAGAGAUAGGGCUUCCCCUUCGGGGGCAGAGUGACAGGUGGUGCAUGGUUGUCGUCAGCUCGUGUCGUGAGAUGUUGGGUUAAGUCCCGCAACGAGCGCAACCCUUGAUCUUAGUUGCCAGCAUUCAGUUGGGCACUCUAAGGUGACUGCCGGUGACAAACCGGAGGAAGGUGGGGAUGACGUCAAAUCAUCAUGCCCCUUAUGACCUGCGCUACACACGUGCUACAAUGGGCAGAACAAAG